rnacentral:rRNA from 1 species
UACGUAGGGUGCAAGCGUUGUCCGGAAUUAUUGGGCGUAAAGAGCUCGUAGGCGGUUUGUCGCGUCUGCUGUGAAAACCCGCGGCUCAACCGCGGGCCUGCAGCCGAUACGGGCAGGCUAGAGUUCGGUAGGGGAGACUGGAAUUCCUGGUGUAGCGGUGAAAUGCGCAGAUAUCAGGAGGAACACCGAUGGCGAAGGCAGGUCUCUGGGCCGAUACUGACGCUGAGGAGCGAAAGCGUGGGGAGCGAACAGG